rnacentral:rRNA from 1 species
GCUUCGGUAACUGACCUAGCGGCGGACGGGUGAGUAAUACUUAGGAAUCUGCCUAUUAAUGGGGGACAACAUCUCGAAAGGGAUGCUAAUACCGCAUACGCCCUACGGGGGAAAGCAGGGGAUCACUUGUGACCUUGCGUUAAUAGAUGAGCCUAAGUCGGAUUAGCUAGUUGGUGGGGUAAAGGCCUACCAAGGCGACGAUCUGUAGCGGGUCUGAGAGGAUGAUCCGCCACACUGGGACUGAGACACGGCCCAGACUCCUACGGGAGGCAGCAGUGGGGAAUAUUGGACAAUGGGGGGAACCCUGAUCCAGCCAUGCCGCGUGUGUGAAGAAGGCCUUAUGGUUGUAAAGCACUUUAAGCGAGGAGGAGGCUCUCUUGGUUAAUACCCAAGAUGAGUGGACGUUACUCGCAGAAUAAGCACCGGCUAACUCUGUGCCAGCAGCCGCGGUAAUACAGAGGGUGCGAGCGUUAAUCGGAUUUACUGGGCGUAAAGCGUGCGUAGGCGGCUUUUUAAGUCGGAUGUGAAAUCCCCGAGCUUAACUUGGGAAUUGCAUUCGAUACUGGGAAGCUAGAGUAUGGGAGAGGAUGGUAGAAUUCCAGGUGUAGCGGUGAAAUGCGUAGAGAUCUGGAGGAAUACCGAUGGCGAAGGCAGCCAUCUGGCCUAAUACUGACGCUGAGGUACGAAAGCAUGGGGAGCAAACAGGAUUAGAUACCCUGGUAGUCCAUGCCGUAAACGAUGUCUACUAGCCGUUGGGGCCUUUGAGGCUUUAGUGGCGCAGCUAACGCGAUAAGUAGACCGCCUGGGGAGUACGGUCGCAAGACUAAAACUCAAAUGAAUUGACGGGGGCCCGCACAAGCGGUGGAGCAUGUGGUUUAAUUCGAUGCAACGCGAAGAACCUUACCUGGUCUUGACAUAGUAAGAACUUUCCAGAGAUGGAUUGGUGCCUUCGGGAACUUACAUACAGGUGCUGCAUGGCUGUCGUCAGCUCGUGUCGUGAGAUGUUGGGUUAAGUCCCGCAACGAGCGCAACCCUUUUCCUUAUUUGCCAGCACUUCGGGUGGGAACUUUAAGGAUACUGCCAGUGACAAACUGGAGGAAGGCGGGGACGACGUCAAGUCAUCAUGGCCCUUACGACCAGGGCUACACACGUGCUACAAUGGUCGGUACAAAGGGUUGCUACCUAGCGAUAGGAUGCUAAUCUCAAAAAGCCGAUCGUAGUCCGGAUUGGAGUCUGCAACUCGAC